rnacentral:rRNA from 1 species
ACGAAGGGGGCGAGCGUUAUUCGGAAUCACUGGGCGUAAAGCGUGCGUAGGCUGUUUUGUAAGUCAGAAGUGAAAGCCCAGGGCUCAACCUUGGAAUUGCUUUUGAAACUACAAGACUUGAAUUCGGGAGAGGAUAGCGGAAUUGUCAGUGUAGCAGUGAAAUGCGUAGAUAUUGACAGGAACACCAGUGGCGUAAGCGGCUAUCUGGACCGACAUUGACGCUGAGGCACGAAAGCGUGGGGAGCAAACAGG